CGGCAGCGGGGGCGGCGCCGGGCUCUGGCCAGGGGUUGGCUGGGGUGGCAGCGGCGGCGGCCGCAUUCCUGCUGUUGGCGCUGCUGCUCUGGUUGUUGCUGCCGCACGACCACCAAACCCAGGAGGAGCCCUUGCCCCAGUCAGCGCGUUACGGGUUGAUUGAGACAGCAAAACCUGAGGUGGCGUCAUGGCUGGCGGCGGAACAGAUUCUGCGGGACCCGGCGCCCGCUCAAGCAAGAAAGGUGGCCAACAUAACGCGCUGAUGGUUGCUGCCCAGCGGGCCCUGCGAGCUGCGCUGACGACUCCGUCACCAGCAGCGCAGUUGGCAGCACUGCUGCGCCCUGUCAAGGACGAAUUCUGCUCAGCGGCUGUCCACCGAGAAAUACUGGAGACCUGUAUUCGAGCGUUGCGCAGUUCCUCUCUUCCUAUUUAAUGACUGUGUGAGAAUAGGACACUAGGUGUGAUGGAGACAGUGUUCCAAGUGGUCUUCGUGUGCUACUGAGAACUCUUUCAGUAGAGUCUCACUUAUUCAACAUAGUGCAUUGAGUACCCCUACUAAGGUAUAAAAAUUUGUAUGUACGAUAUGGAGAGAGGGAUUCCUCGGGAUCUUAGGAACGUGCUAAUUAAUUCCAUUGGUCGUCAUUACACCCCUUUCGACUUGCUGUCGAGUAAUACGCAUGCUUACAUGAUGCUUGUAAUUCAGCCGAAGGUAAUCAGGGGUUUGGAAAGAAUUUUGACCCCUGUGGCUGACCACCGUCGUCAAGAUUCCAUUAAUUGGGCGGGAAGAAAAUUGAUGCGCUAACAGAACUAACGCCUAGAGGUCCCCUUAGAUUUUUCAGUACCAUCCAUCAGAGAAGCUGAAAGAUUGGUCAAACCGUGAUGUUUAUGAAAAAUUUCAAAGAACUCGAAAAUGUACAUUGUAUCAGAGGACUAGUUUCCUGAAGAUGACCUUACCCUACUUAGAAGCUAAUCUACUGAAACAUAUUCUAGCAUCAUUACACUUAAAUGCUGUUACACUCUAAGAUACCCCUGGACCACGUAUGGAUAAGUAGGUAGUUUACUAAUAUGCGAAACAAAUUUUUUGUGUUAAUAAAUGGAACAAAUACAUUUCUUAAUAAGCUAA